ensembl:snRNA
GUGCUGUAUGAUAGAGAAGGGGGUUAGCACUCCUCUCGACAAGGAUGGAAGAGGCCCUCGGGCCUUACAGCACACAUAUGGUUAAAGCCUUGCCACCUUCUUUGUGACAUCUAACCAUAUAUAUUU